rnacentral:rRNA from 1 species
AGUUUGAUCCUGGCUCAGGAUGAACGCUGACAGAAUGCUUAACACAUGCAAGUCAACUUGAACUUCGGUUUGGGUGGCGGACGGGUGAGUAACGCGUAAAGAACUUGCCUCACAGCUAGGGACAACAUUUGGAAACGAAUGCUAAUACCUGAUAUUAUGAUUUUAGGGCAUCCUAGGAUUAUGAAAGCUAUAUGCGCUGUGAGAGAGCUUUGCGUCCCAUUAGCUAGUUGGAGAGGUAACGGCUCACCAAGGCGAUGAUGGGUAGCCGGCCUGAGAGGGUGAUCGGCCACAAGGGGACUGAGACACGGCCCUUACUCCUACGGGAGGCAGCAGUGGGGAAUAUUGGACAAUGGACCAAGAGUCUGAUCCAGCAAUUCUGUGUGCACGAUGAAGUUUUUCGGAAUGUAAAGUGCUUUCAGUUGGGAAGAAAAAAAUGACGGUACCAACAGAAGAAGUGACGGCUAAAUACGUGCCAGCAGCCGCGGUAAUACGUAUGUCACAAGCGUUAUCCGGAUUUAUUGGGCGUAAAGCGCGUCUAGGUGGUUAUGUAAGUCUGAUGUGAAAAUGCAGGGCUCAACUCUGUAUUGCGUUGGAAACUGUAUAACUAGAGUACUGGAGAGGUAAGCGGAACUACAAGUGUAGAGGUGAAAUUCGUAGAUAUUUGUAGGAAUGCCGAUGGGGAAGCCAGCUUACUGGACAGAUACUGACGCUGAAGCGCGAAAGCGUGGGUAGCAAACAGGAUUAGAUACCCUGGUAGUCCACGCCGUAAACGAUGAGUGCUAAGUGUUGGUCUCAUAAGAGAUCAGUGCUGCAGCUAACGCAUUAAGCACUCCGCCUGGGGAGUACGACCGCAAGGUUGAAAC